GACCGCGUAGCUCAGUUGGAAGAACUUUGGGCUAGUAUUCCAAAGGUCGUAGGUUCGAAUCCCACCGUGGCCG